rnacentral:lncRNA from 1 species
UGGCUCCCUAGGAGCACUCUCAGGAAUAGGAGGAUGAGUCAUAUCGUUCUCAACAUAGAAAUCAGCAGAGUAUAUAUGAGAAGCAAUAUCAGAGUAACAAGUAGGAGGAGAAUCAUAGACACAAGCAGAAUGAGAAUUACUCACAUAGCCAAAAUAGGUAGACAUGGGAAAGAAGGAGGGAAAGAAGGAUGUAAUGAAAAUAUGCAACUAAAGCUACCUAAAUGCAACAACACAUAACAUCACACACAAAACAGAACGACACACUCACAACACAAGACAAAACACAACACACACUAACACAACAAAGACCUAAAACCGAACCGUUGGUCCCCGGCAACGGCGCC